GUCGAAAUCGCGUGACUAUAUCACGAAAUCAAAAGUAACCAUAUUCAAAUAGGGGGAAACAAACUUUUUUUUUUAUACGCAAAGUCAAGAAAAAGUUAUUCAACGUUACUUAAAAAGUUAAUUAAAAGAAACAGCGGAAAGAUGUCUGCAAAACAUACAUCUUUUAGUGCUAAAUUACCUUCACUGCACGUUUUAAUUUUUUGAAGAAGAUCUUCGAAGCCAAUUUCUUUUAUCGCAAAUUGGUGUCGUAUUUCAUUACAGCUUCUUCCUAAUUAAAAUAUACAAUGUAAAAUGA